CCCGAUUCACUUUACACUUUCCGUGCUCAGAUGCGCUUUCCGUGGUCAGAUGCGCUUUCCGUGCUCAGAUGCGCUUUCCGUGCGCGGCCGUGUAGCGGUGGAGUAAUUGCGCGAUGGGUGUUGUGGAUCGUACGUACUGCUGCUGCUGCUGGAAUUGUCGUAAGGAUGGCUGCUACCGGUGGCAUUCGGCCGUCCUAGCAGCUGCUCAUAGACACCGCUGUGCUGCUGCAGGAUGCCCUGGUCCUGCCCAUCCCAACAUCGUCCUCACCGCAAUCGGUCACCCAGAUUGAGGCUCCAGCGGUGGAAGUAGUAGGAGCACAUUCUCCAAGCCGAUUGGGAUUUUCCAAGCCUGGUUCUCGGUGUACCAUCCUCCUGAUGUUCCGCUGGCCGAUCCUCAUCAAAUGUACGUGUAGCUUCGUUGAGCAAACGCUUGGUGUCCCACUGACCGUCCUCUUUGGUUAGGCCGCUGGUGAGUCUGACAACACCAGAGGCCAACAUCCAGUGGCGCCACGAGGAGGCAGAGGAUCGGAUUUGGCCACCGUCCCAGCAUCGGGCUGUUCCUUCACGGCGCCUUAUACUGGGGUGACUUACACGUCACUUUACGAAAGCUGGAACGAAGAGAGAGAGAGAGAGA